GCGGUUCCCAGGACGACUCCGUCGUGGACCCAGCGCCGGACACCGUGACCAAAAACCAGGAUUGUGGAACUGGAUUAGUGAAACCCACAUCGAGUCACCUUCGUUUGCCCCGCCUGGCCGGCGGGCCUGUGUGCCUCUUGUUUUUAGUCUACCAGCUCUUGCCGGAACUCACUGGGAGAUAAAACAGGAAGUCCCGCCCCUCCCCGAGAGGAAAACGGAAAGCCGAUGAAGUCAAUCCAAGGAAGGGGAGCCGUGCGUCCGGCUGGAGGGCUGGCGGUGUCUGGCCCCGAGGGCCAGCGGGGUUUAUCACAGGGUCCCAGAGCGGAUUCCUCGCGGACAGUCCACUCCUCCCUACCCCACGCCUCCAGCUCCACCCCGUCGCACGCCCGCCCGCCGCAGAGGACCCCGAGGGCGACGCGGGAGCCGCAGAGGCCUGGUUUGGGCCGGCGGCCGGCCGCCCUCCGCCUUCCCCGGCCCGAGGGGGCCCGGCGCCUCGAGGCGCUUGUCUCCGGAAACAAGGCUUUUCUGCCGCGCCAGGCGCGUGCGCAGCCCCAGAUUGUGAGGAAAGUCUGUCUAGAGGCCGCAGAAGGGGACGCGUGGAGUCCCAGGCCGUGGGGAGCCAUGAGCCAAGUUCCGACACUGACGGGAAGGCGAGGAGCUGAAUGAGCUGGUUCUGCAGUUUGGCAGUAAAAGCCGAAACGCCCCGGGUGUCUGAACGUCCCCCACGGGCCGUUUAUACAAACGUCAACGGCACGGCGCCGGGAUGGCCAGGAAGAAAGGACGGCAGGACCGGGGCACGGCGGUCCCCGCCUCUCCUGGCCCUCGCGUUCACCCCACUGUCCUCGGAAACGCGAAGUCUGGAAGGAAGACCGCGGCCCGAAAAGCGCAGUGACAGAGAUGCACUCGGCAACGAGCGGCGAUGUCCCACUCGGGGGGGUUUCUCGGACAUGGCCUGGUCAGGUUCUUACUGUGGUCCACGAAAAUGCUCGUGUCUGCCGCCCACAACAGGAGAUUGCAGUUUAGGAGACUCAAUCACUGUUCCGAGGUCACACAGCUAAUGAAGUUGGAACUCAGCUUUAAAUUCGAGUCAGCCUUGUUCUGUCCACCGCACAUCCUUUAGUAGUUAUUUAAGCACUGUUAGUCUUGUCCGACAGGGCGGUCCGUUUCUCAAGUUACAGGAGCACAAUUUUCCGUAUGAGUAGGCAUUCUGUUGAUCUUUAGGUGAUCGAUCUUGCUACCUUUCUUACGCUGGGAACUUUGUUAACAUUUCAUCUUCCUUCUUUGAGCAGUGAAAUGAAAUCUGAGUUUAUUUUUCAGUUCCCCAUCAUCCGUUAUUUUACGGACACAAGAGCUUUGCAUCAUAAAGUGACCUUAAAGAAGUCAGCUUGACCUCAUUUUCCUCAUGUAUAAAAUGAGUGGUUUAGGGUAGUUUCCUUCUUUUGAAAUUCUAUUUGUAUAGGUAGAUGAGAGUCUAAAUUUCUAAGUCACAGUGAUAGUGUCUGAUACAGUUAUUCUCAUUAAAACAGUUAAAAGACUUUGUUCCGUUAGAUAAUACUUGAGCACCUACUGUGCGUCAUGCAAUGCUCUAGAGAAUCCAAGAAUGUAGGGAAAUUUUGAUUAUAUUUUCUGUGCUAUAUUAGGAAAGUUUACAUAUAUAUAAUAUAUGUAUAUCCUUAUGUUUAUUUAUUAUAUACAUUAUGUGUGUGUAUAUAUAUCCUUGUACGUAUCUCUUGGGGCUUUAAGAGAUGUUUGUUAAAGAUGAUGCCGUUCCGUGUCUUCUGGCCGCCGUUUUUUUCUGCUGAGCAGAAGUCAUUCAGACCUUUUCUCCCUCUGACGUGACCUUACAUGUAAUUUGUCAUUUUUCUCAGGCUGCUUUCAAAAUUGUCUCCGUCUUUUUGGCUUUUCAGCAAUUUGCUUAUGAUGUGCCUACGCAUGAUUUUCUUCAUAUUUAUCCUGUUCGGGGUUUUCUGAGCUUUUAAUACUUGUAAAUAUAUGUAUUUCACCAAGUUUGGAAAAUUUGGGGCCAUUAUUUCUCCAAGUACUUUUCUCCAUUCUUUCUUUUUCUCUUGAAUUCCAAUUAUAUAUUACACACAACUCACUGAUAUUAUACACAACUCACUGAGGCUCUAUCCUUUUUUGUUUUGUUUUCAGUCUUUUUUCUCUCAGACCUUCAGAUUGGGUAACUUUUAUCUAUUCUCUGUGUUCCCUGAUAUCUUUCUUCUGUCAUCUCUGAUCAUCUGUUAGAAGCAGCUAGUGAUUUUUUUUUUCUUAAUUCAGAUACUGUAUAUUUUAGUUUAUUUUAGUUCUAAAAUUUCGGUUUGGUUGUCAUAAUUUCUAUUUCUCUGCAGAGAUUUCCUAUUUGUUCACUUAUUACAGGCAUAUUUUUUGCCACAUCUUUGAGCAAAGUUAUAAUAGCUGCUUUGACAUUUUGUCUGCUGAUUCCAACAUAUGAAUCAUCUUGGGGUUCAUCUUUAUUAAUUUUCUCUUUUCUCUUGAUUAUGAGCCGUGUUUUCCUUUUUCCUAAGUGUCUAGUAAUUUUGGUUGUAUCCUAGGUAUUUGAGUAAUACAAUGUAGAGACCGAAUUCACUCAUGUUCCUCUGAAGAGCGGGUUUGUUGUUGUUUAAACAGGCAGUUAUUUUGGCGGUAGUCAUACUCCAUACUUUGUCUCGCCUAUCAUGAUGGCACCUGAAAUUUCAUUCAGUUCCCUCAGGCUUGGCCGAGAGGCUCCAGUCUGCUUCCCACGUGCAUAGUGCAGCGCUUGUCCAGAGAUUUCAGCGGGGUGUGCCGAAUUUGGUGCUUCCCCCUGACUCUCCUGCCCUGAACCCUCUCCUCACUUUUCACUGAUGUGGUAGCCCCGAAGUCUACCUUCUGGCUUUUCAAGUGGGAUUUUAAAUAAAGUUUAUAGAGCCACCUUUACUUGAUUAUAAUUAUUCAAAAUGUGAAAGGAAACAUUGGUCAUUUUUGGUGACUAAUCAUUCUUGAUGACUAAUUUAACAGUGUGAAAUUUAAAGUUCUAAUUUCCUUUAAAAUUUUCUGCCAUUGCAUUCAAAUGCCUACCUACGAUAACAGUGCAAGAAUGCUGUGAACACUUAACCACCCACACCAGAAUUUUAAAUCUUAAGUCUUUCUGAAUGCUGUUUUGGUGAAUUUCAGUGUGGGAAGUGAGAUGAUUUAAAACUUCAUAUUUUCUAUUGUAGUCAAAGGUAUAAUUUCCCUGACAUCUUUUUUCAUUCUCAAUAAGAAAUUACACUAAAAUAAUGUUUUUAAAUAGAGUUUUUCCAUGUAAUGACAGUUUUUUCUCUUCAAUCUUCCUAAUCAAAAAAAAAAAUCAGUCAUUUAUUUACUUAUCAUAACUGUUAGAAAAUUACAGUCAUUACACCUACCAUCUGUUCUCUUCCACAUCGUGCUGUAAAGAAAAAGAGACAUUACUUUGCUUCAGAAAAUCCCCUGUAUUUCUGUCUUUGUACUUCAUCAAUUGAGCAUUUGGACAGCUGAGCAAAGAAUAGAAUAUGCCCAACUGCCUCCCAGAGCUUGCUUCCUGAAGAGGGAAGUUUUUUUCAAUAUAGUGAAAAGGGAGAUUAUGUUUCUUACUUCUUAAGUGCCCUACAAAGAAUAUAGAUGCUAAACAGAGUUGGUCAGUGGAAGAAGUGUUAUGUGCAAAUGUUAGGCCUUAAUUUCGGCGUCACUGCUUGUCGUGAACGGCAGUAGUAGUACUGAUGGCAGAACUCUGCUAGAUUUAACCACAUCUCACAUAAUCAGGACCUCAAAAUCAUUAACUCUGGCUGUUACAUGUUCAAUUACUAUUCAAACUCAAGUUGAAAAUUAAGAUCAAAAAAUAAUAGCUAGACGGCACUGAAUACACUUAAAACUAGAUAUUUAAAAAUAGUACAGUAUGUAAAAGCCAUUUGGAUCUAACAUGAAAUGAUACUUGGAGACUUGUUUUUUAAGUGGAAGUAGGUAUCAAUGGAGGUGAGAAGCCAAAUACGAUAGCGUUACCUUUCAUGAGCUUCCUUCUUUUUCUGCCUCUAAGGAACUUGCUGAGCACGUGUUGUGGGUCAGGCACCGGGCUUGGCAUGACCCUCCUCAGCUCCGCUGGCUGUCGUCCUGUGGGAGCCGCAGAUCACUGUUACUCAGUCUUGAUUGCUCAAGAGAAGUCAUUUCGCGUGAGGUCUGCUGAUUUUGAAAUGCUGGCUUCCGAUUCAGAAGUGCUUGGAACAAUGUGAGGGCCGCGUGAGACCCGGUGAAGGGAGCCUUGUGGGGCUCACGGGCUGCUGGCUUGUGGCCCCUGCGGAGACACGGGCGCUGCCCGGGAGGCCUCACGGGAGCCGCCGUAGUCAGGGGCACCUCAGCGUGGCUUGUUCUACGUGCUCUUUCCCUGUCCUAGCUGCUCCCAAGACAGUUUCUAGGAACGUCGUGAGGCAAAGAGCAUAAAGAUGCAAGUCCUGGCUGGGGACCGCAGGCCUGGCAGGGGGCACCUCAAAAGCAGCCACGGAAUCAAAAGGAAGAUCCUAGCAAGCAACAUUGAGCACCUACUGUGUGCAGUGCACUUCACUGGGCCUCUGAAGUACAGAGAUGACUUGGAAAUAGAAUCUGAAGGUAGGGAGUUGAAGUUGCCUGGGGGAGGGAGAGCUGUGCACAAAGUAGGGAAGGCCCAGCGGCAGGUGGAUGGGCCACCUGGGUGCGGAGAUCUCUGUUAAUUUGCCAUGUAAAUGUUUCCUGAAGAUGUGCAGCAUGGCUAGAGCUGUGGAGAGUCCACAGAAAGCAAAACAGACGUGGUCUCUGCCCUCAGGGAUCUCCAGUCUAGCACAGGGGCUGGCAGUUCUCAGUUGAACAAAUACGCACUGAAAUGCCGUGGUGGUAAAUGCCGUCGCAGAACUGUGGGGACUGCGGUGCUGAAGAGGGACACCUGACUCCCUCGGGGGGACUCAGAUGAAGCUUCCCCGGAAAAGUAAACUAAGCUAAGAUCUGGAGAACAAUACCACGUCCAGGGUGGCAAGAGGAUUAGCCAGACCACGAGGGCAGGUGGAGUUCCAGAGAUGGGAAGGGACUCAGGAGGCCCUUGGUUAGUUUGAGAAGCCGGAAGGAUUGGAAGGAUGGGGCUGGGGCGUGUGCAGUGAGGGCGGGCGCGGCCAGAGGCGGGAGCAGGAGAGCCUGCUGUGGUGCUGGGCUUCAUCCUGCCACCGCACAGCCACUCCAGGGUUUUAGGCAUGAGUGGGAGGGACGCGCACAGAGGGGCUGCCAUGGGCACAAAGGUCAGGGCUUUUGCAAACAUUAUAGAGGGUUUGCUUUACAGGAUAUUGGAGGUGACAAUGGAAAUGGAAGUGGUGGUUUGUAAGAAAUGGAAUCACCUGGUCCUGAUGUUGAAUUGGAUUUGAAAGAAGAUUCAGGAUUCCGGUGGUCCGUUUAGCAGAGCAGGGAACGUCAGAAGGAAGCAGGUUUGGGAGGAUGGAUGAAAGUUUCCAUUUUGGAUGAAACCCAGGCUCUGGGCCAGGCAGAACACCCGGGUGGAGCUAGGAGAGCUGGCGAGACUCUUUGUGACCCCGAGAGGCAGAAACCAUGGGCCCUGCACUCAGACGUCCCUGAUUCAGUCUGGAAUCUCCUAGACUCAACGACCUCAGCUCUUAUCCUCCCAGAAUAAUUAACCAAGACACUGGAGGUCUCAGAGACUCCUCAGGAAUGAAGAUCUAAUCAAGCCAAACAAGAUGGUUAACUAAAAUGAUUAAUGAACGCACCAUUAGCUGAUGGCUUUAAAUUUAGAUUGUGUUACUGAUGUCAGGGUUGAUUAGUUCUCUAAAACUGAUGCGAUUAAAAGCUUUGAGCAAUUUAGGAUGUAGUCACUGAGUAAAAUGCCAACGGGGUGAGAGAAGUUCUAUGAGGAUUGAUUUUGCUGUGGCGCAUUUGCAUGUGCACAGAUGCUGAAGAGAGCGAGCAGGCAGGCCUGUGCUGAUGGGGCAGGAGAGAGACGGGGUGCAGAGGGCGGUCAGCUGGCAUCGUACAGCAAAGGUGAAGAGGCUCGGAACUUAAAAGUACUCAUCCUCGCACAGGGAAUCCCAGGUGGCUUAAGGUUAUAAACAUCAAUCAUUUCCAUUUGUGAACUUUUGAAGAAGCAGGAAAAAUAAGAGGAAGCAAGAAAUUAAUACGGGACCCUGCUUUAGUAACUCCUCCAGAAAUGAACACGAGGAAAUCACAGUGGGCAGCGGUGAAGACCAGCAUUUUUAUUAAUAAAUGAAAGGGACACGUGGUAAGAGCAAGGGCGCUGUAGUAUGGGCAGUCCCUGGGUGGAACGACCACGGGCCCUGUGCCCUUGAAGGCCUGGAACGCAAACUGGAGUGAUGACGCCGAUGAGACCGCCAGGGGAGAGCCCCAUCCAAGACCCAUCCUCGUCCUGAAGGUACCGUGAGUCCAGUCCCAGGGCCACUGGAGCAGGACUUGGGGAAACCAAGUCGUUGAAGGUAGCUGAGACUUUAGAAAGGCAAGCAACAGCGAUGUCUGUACCUUGGAAAUAUUUUAUUGCUGGUCCAAAUGUCCCAGGACAUUUUAAAUCAGAGGGAAAACAUUGUGGGAUCCAGAUUCUCUGGACACUUAGAUUCUGCCCCUUCCCCAGGGUUGUGGGAGAGGGGACCUGUCAGUAGGUCAGAUCUAGGCUGGAAGGUUCCUGCCACGGCGAGUGCAGCUUAGCCAUCUCUAGGAAGAAGGCAGCAAAUAAUUUGGAUCCCUCUAUGUAGUUCCACCUAACAAAGACGAAAUAAAGAGAAACACUGUUAUUCCCAUUCCAACGACAAGAGGAAAAGGGGUCUACACUUUAAACGGAAAGACUUGAUGUAAAAUCCAUCCAAAGCACGCAGCUUGUCAGGGGACGACCGGCCUGGGGACCCUGGGGCACAUGCAGGCUGGCCCGGCAGUCCCGACCUGUUGAUUUUCUCGUUCUGAGCGUGCUCGCCGUCGUCAGCAGCACCUAGCGGGAGCAGCAGCACGCUCUUCUGGAUGGUGUCCUGGAACGUCCUGGCAAUGGGUAUGGUGGACCCGUCCCGGAUCACAUCCGGCUCUGUCCCAAACACUGAAACACAGGAGGGGAAGCUGUCUGAAUAAACUAACGACAAGACUGCCCCCAGUGAUCUCCUCCAGCGUAGCGUUUGCUGGACCUUUCUUCCUCUUUUACUUUUUUAAAUCAUUAAAUCUGAUACCUGGGGUGGCAGGUAGCAUCUUUUCUUGACUUCAUGCAGUUUGUAUGAUAAUAUCAAUAGAGUCAAGAAGAAAAGCAUGGUUGCUUUCUUUACAAUUACCUGCUUUAAAAAAAUAUUUUUUGAAAAAAAUUUGUGUUUUGACCUAAUUUUAAUACUUACAGAAAAGUUGCAAAAAUAGUACAGAGAGAGUUCCUGUAUUUCCCUUCCUCUCCUAAUGUUAACGUGCAAUUACUGUGCAGUUAUGAAGACCAGGGGAGUAACGCUGGAGUGGUAUUAACUAGACCCAGGCCUGACAGGGACUUCACCACUCCUCCCCUUUGUCUGUAACGGGACUGAACCCAGAAUCCCACAUUGCACUUUGUCACUGAUGCUGAGUCUCCUCCAGCCUGUGACAGGUCCCCAGUCUUUGACUUUCAUCAGCUUGACCCUCCUGCAGAGGACUGAGCAGCUGUUUUGUAAAAGGUCCCUCAGUUUCAGUUUGUCUGAUGUUUUCUCAUGGCAUCUUCAGCAGGUGUACAAGAGAGUGUACCCACUCUCAUGGCUGCUUCAUGAAUUAAACAUUGGGAAAGGGGGACUUGUUUGUUUUUGUUUGUAACCAGUAUUCAAAUAAAUAGCUGCACUCAACUAUCA